GGCCUAUAGCUCAGUGGCAGAGCUCUGCAUGCAAAAGGUCCCAAGUUCAAUCCCUGGCAUCUCCA